GGAGGUUUCUUCUGCCUUUUGUGGAAAUUUUGCAGCUGUUCGAGAUAUUAUUGGAGUUUCACGUAAAUAGAUUACAAUUUCCAUACUAUAUACUUAUAUUUUAUAGUCAGCCGAAGUCUAUUAAUGUGCUGCAAUUGAUAUAAUUCUGUUUGUGAUGUUUCCUUUAAGAAUAACUCCAUUAUUUGUUGAGUACUUAUUUUAUGCACAACACUAAGAUACGAAGGGGCCAGAAGAGGUAAAGUAAGUUCCUGAUCAUAAGAAUUUACUUUCUUUGCAAAAACAGAGUCAGACUCUUACUUUGGGCUCACUGGAGGAUUGAAGACCUCAAAAGGAGAAGACUUGUACAGACUGAUUAGGAAAAUUCUUGAGAAACCAAUAUUGAUUAAGCACUUACUUUGGUGCGAGGCACUUUGCAUGCUCAAAAUAAUCCUAUAAGAAGAUUUUAGUAUUCCUGUUCAUAGAUGAGGAAACUUAGGUUUAGAGUGUAAGUCUACAAAGUUAAAUAGGGAAUAGACAUAGUAUCUGAAAUUCAAGAGAGCAACCCAGGAUGGGAUAUAGGUCUAGAAGCUAUCAGUAUCCUAGUGGUAACUUAAUUCACAAAUGGUGAUGAGAUAAUCCAAUAAUAAGGGAGAACUGGAAAAAAAGAAAGACUUGAAGGUAGUCAAGUGGAUGUCCCAGGCACUUCAAGUCAACAUAUUCUGUGCUAAAUUUAUCAUUGUUGCCCCCUUCCACCCACUACCUACAACUUGUUCUUCAUCCUAUUUUCCAAAGCUCAGUGAGUAUCAGCAUGUUUUGCGCCCCUACUUUUUCCAUAAAUCUUAAAUCAUCCUUGAAUAUGUCUUCUUCCUCCCUCCACAGUAUCUAUUUUACUUUUUGAAAAUCAUGUUAAUUCUAUUAACUUAAAAUUUCUUUAAUGUUUGCUUUUCUCAUUCCCAUUGCCAAUACCUCCAAACAUUUUUUUCUUUAAUUGCUUCAGAGUUCUCCUAAUAAAUCUCCCUCUUUUACUGUCAAUUCUCUCUUCUGUUUUCCAAGCCCUGUAGAUUUAACAAAUGGUAUUUGCACAAUGGAAA